rnacentral:lncRNA from 1 species
GUAAAAAAUUGAAAUGUUUUAAUUUAAUAAAGAACAAUUAUCUUAUACACCGUCUAUGAAGUUUUUAAAAUUCCACAAACAAAUUGAAGAUACUACAUGUGUCUUGUAAGGUGUAGUGGGCCAAAUUUGCCCGGCCCGAAUAAAAACAAUAAAUGAUAUAAAAAUCUAGAUAUCAAUAGUCCAUUAUUUACAACCCAAAAUCAAACCAAAUUAACCCCAAUGUUUCAAGACCCAAAUUACAAAUCCAUUUACAAAAUGACAUAGCCCAAUACCCCAAACGGCCCAGAAACUGAGCCCCAUUUUGGCAAACCCUAGGGCAAGGGUCUCCUUGUGCCGCAGCCCUCACUAGCAGCCAAACCACAUUGCGCCAGACAACGCCUCCAACAGCACCAGCGCACAGCCCUCGUACGCCACGCCCGUACCUCCGUACGAUGCCAGCAGACUCCGUACCUGCGAAAAAGACACACAGAACAGCAGCGAAUAGGGAAGAAGAAAAUAGCAUUUUCAUUUUUUGAUUUUUCUUUCUUUUCGGCUAUAAAGGCCAUGUAAUAGCCUAGGUGAGUUUUUUACGCAACAUAAACGCACAAUAGGCCAUACAGACACAAUCAAUACAUUUUGAAAUACAAAAAAGCAACGAGCAUUCGAAGGUGAUUCCGAUUCAUAAUUUCUGAGAUUUUUUCCUUUUCUUCUUGGCUUAGUUUCAUUCUCCCUGGAAUUUCUUUUUGUUCUUUCGCAUUUUGGGUUGUAUAAAAGAGAGAGGAAAUGAAAUCUUACCCCGUGAAUACGCCGUGAGAUAUCCUCUGAUUCGUUGAAAUCGGGGUCCGAGAGGAGUAUAAGGCGGAAAGAAAACCAUCUUGAGGCUCGAACAGGCCGAUCUCCAUUCAUUGCGGUGGAUUGGCAUGGCAGAUGGAGGGUCAAGGUUCGUUUGAGGGGAGUAAAAAUGGAGGCUAGGGUUUGGAGGUGCUGGCUUAAUCUGCUGAUUGAGCCAUUUUAUAGGACCUCAAACUGUGUCGCAUUGACAUCAAAGCCCGACCCGAUUCGAUUCCAAACCCGAUGACCCGCGUGUUUUUGCGGUGAGGGACUAUUUGCACAUUAAAUCCCUCCCUUUUGCGCCACGUUUAAAUCAAUCCAUAUUUUUAUUCCAUUUCUUUUAAUUUAGGCUUGUAUUUUGAGCUCAUUUGCAAUGGGGUCCGCACAUGUACACAGCGUUUUGGGAGUCUGGAAUAAUUUCAGUUUUGAUCCUUGCAUAUUCGUAUACAUUAUGCGCUGGCCCUUAUCUGUAUUUACAAAUUAUCCUUCCAUUUUAACGUGGUUUCAAUUAGACCCUCUCUUUUAUGUGAUUUCAAUUAUUUUUUUUAGAUUCACCUCAUGUUUUAUUUUAUUUUACUUGUGUUCAUUUACUCGUGUUCAUCGUCUAACUUGCAUCAUUUACUUAUUGUAAUUUGGGUAACUAUGCUUUCAUAUUUUGCGUAUUACCUCAUGUAAUUGUUUUCUUUAUAUACGCUAUUGUACAUAUAUAUUUGUACUUUACAUUAAAGUCAAUUUCAUUUCAUAUAUAUAUACAUUGUUAACCUUAUGUUAUUUUAUACAUGUGUUGUCUUAAAUUUAUUAUUGUAGUUUAUUACAUGGUCCUAUAUAAUAUAUUUUCUCAAUUAUUAUUAUAUACAUAUAUGUUUAUAGAUAUCUAUACUUGAUAUCUAUAUAUAUAUUAUUAAAUCUAUGUAUUUUAUGCAUGUAGUUUUUCUCUUUUUUCAUAUAUGUAAGUAUAUUCUUCAAUUCAUUAUAUAAUUUAUAAUAAAAUCAGUUUUAGCUUGCAUAUAUUUCUAUGUUUUUUACAAAUAAUUAUUUUUUAAAAAAAGGGGGGUUAUUUAUAUAUAUAUAAUUUGUAGAUCCAUUGCAUUUUUGAAGAUUAUAUCGUACUAUAUAUUUUUAUUAUUACCGUUUUUAAUAUAUUUUACACAUACUUUAAAUUAUUAUUCUAUACAUCCUCGUUUUUUUUUUAAAAAUCAAUAUUAUUCUACGUUUUGGUAUGAUUUUCGAUUUAAACAUUCAUUUUAUAAUAUUUUUUAAAAUGAUUAAGCGUAUAUCCCUAGUUUUUCCUUUUUUACAAAUAAAUUUUAAAUGCACCAAUUCAUUAAUUUGCAUGUCAUAAAGAUUUUUGGUUCAUUAGAUCGCAUUUGUUCCGACAUCGUCUUAUACCACUUUGACUUCUAAAUUCUAUUUUGUUUUGCAUACGCUCUUUUGGUUGCUUUAUAUAUGUACAUUCCUUGCGUGGCAUCCACCUUAUUGAACUGUUAAUUACUCAUCAUAUAUGAUUGAAAUUAGGCUAUAAUUCCUAGAUUAAUUAUAUUUAAUUGCUUGUUCUGCUAGUUGAUUCAUUAAGUAUUGUAUCUCGUAUGUGUAUAUUACCUCAUUCAUCGUUUUCCAUUUGAUUUUCGAAAUGCGGUUUUAUAAAAUCCAAAUUUUAUGAUUAAUCUCGUACUAUUUCAAAUUGAAUUAAUACGUCUUAAGCUAGCUCUAUAAUCAUUCAUUCAAAAAUUCUUUAAAAACGAAGGCAAGAUUCGAUGUUUGGCAAUUCGUGGAAUCGUGCCCUAACGUGUUGGGUUGCGAUUUCGCGUUUGCUCAAAAUAAUCGAAUAUCACUUCGAAAUUUCACUCACGCCUUUUAAAAUUCCUCAAAACGAAGACGAGGUUUGAUAUUUAGCAAUUCGCAGAAUCGUGCCCUAACGUGUUGGGUUGCAAUUUUGCGUUUGUUCAAAAUAAUCGGGCUUCCCUUCAAAAUUCCAUUCAUAUCUCCUAAAAUUUUUUAAAUGAAGGCAAUGUUCGACGUUUGAUAAUUUGAGAAUCAUGCUCUAUCGCGUUGGGUUGUGGUUCCUGGUUUGCUCAAAAUGAUCGAACAUUCCUUUACAUUCUCACUCAUGUUUAUAAAAAAAAUACUUAAAAACGAAAACGAUGUUCAAUGUUUGGCGAUUUGAGAAUCGUGCCCUAUCGUGCUGGGUUGCGCUUUUUCAUUGGUCUGAAACAAUUGAAGAUCCCUUCAGAAUUUCCCUCGCACUUUCUAAAAUCUUUUAAAAUAAAGGCGAUGUUCGAUGUUUGGCGAUUUGAGAAUCGAGCCCUAUCAUGCUGGGUUGCGCUUUCUCAUUUGCCCAAAAUAAUCGAAUAUCUCCUCGAAAUUUUCACACGUAUUUUAUAAAGUAAGGCAAUGGUCAAUAUUUAGAAAUUCGAAGAAUCGUACCCUACUGUGCUGGGUUUCGAUUUUUCGUUGGACUAAAUAGUUGAGCAUCAUUCUGUAAUUCUCAAAUUAUAUACCUUCGGGCAUCGAAACAAGAAAUUUUGGCAACCAAGUCGGAUCACUCAAACGUUAUAAAAGGAACCACAUUUCAAAAAACUUUUAAUUUUAGACAUAAGGACAGUAUUUAAUUGACUUGGUACCAAUUUUGGGCGUAGUGAGGGUGCUAAUCCUUCCUCAUGCGUAACCGACUCCCGAACCUGUUUUCUCAAAAGUUCGUAGACCAAAAUUAUUGUUUUAAUAAACCAAAAAUGUUUAUUUAAACUAACCUCAUUUUUAGGUGAUUCGAUCACACCAAAAUAAAAGAUCGGUGGCGACUCCAUAUUUUCAUUUUCCAAAAAGUCGAUUCCACCAUUUUUCAUUAAAAUAAUUUUUUUUUAAAAUCGUGGGAUGGUUUCGACAGCUUGGCGACUCCGGUGGGGAUUUGAACUUGAGAGUCGAGCCAUAAAAAUCGAUUAUUUACUGUCCUUUUGUUAAAAAACCGAAAAUUUAUUUUAAAAAUCAUGUAUAUUUCGAUUGCAUUUGAUUGUAUGUUUGUGCGGGCCUUGUAGAAUAGCACUGCAUUUCAUUGCAUGACCACUGUGGUUACACCUUCUAAGUGGAAGUAAGAAGCUACGCUUUCGUGAGGUUUUCACCUCCGCAUGGGCUAGUGGAUUGCUUCCGGGGUACAUCCGUACCUAUGAUUUCGUGAGAUUUUCAUCUCUGCAUGGUCAUAGGGAAAUGUAUCCCCUCGAACCGAACUCGAUCUAUAUGAGCUUAUAAUGGGUGAGGAUUGAGGAAUCUGCUGGUUCGGGUACCCAUUUUCCUAGAACUAAACCACAUAUAGUGAACCUUAGGAGCUAUCCUUGGGUGGAGCCGCGUCGAACCUUAGUACUUACCCGUACAUGCGUUAUAAUCACCGUUUAUGUGCUUGCAUUCUAUUGCUAUUAUUUGAUACUAACCGAUGUUUUGUUUUGAUUGUCUUUUUUGCAUGACAUUGCAUAUUAAAGGAGGCGUUAAUCUACAUUCAAUUACUAAGUUAGAAAAUUUGACAUGGAGAAUGAAUUUUUUAGUAAAGUCGAGGAUAAUGCGGCCGUUCGUGCUUGGUCGGAGAGGCUACAAUCUGAGAGAGGGGAUAGCUUGGCAGAAGGGUAUGUGUCGGAGCUGUAGGAUUUCACUCGCGUCAAUGUAGUACAGAAUAAGCUGCAAUAGUUGAGAGACAUUUGGGUUAGUUGGGAUGAAAGGAUCAAGCAGUUGUUUUACCAAAGUUAUGGUGACAUAUCCUACCUGCUAGACAUUAAAGUGGAUAAGCAUUUGUUCCGAGCCUUGGUGCAGUUUUGGAAUUCCGCAUAUAAGUGUUUUACCUUUGGAGAAGUGGAUUUGGUACCUACCAUGGAGGAAUAUACUACGCUGCUUAGAUGUCCAAAGAUUCAGGUCUGGAAGACUUAUGCCCGGGUUUUUAGUAAUCAGGCUUUCGUGAAGAAACUGAUGAGCAUUUCUGGGAUGAGCGAGUCUUGGGUCACUGCUCGGAUUCAGCAGAAAGGAGAUAGCAAAUGUGUCCCUUGGGAGAAUUUGCGAGAUUUGAUCUUGACUCAUCUAGACGAAAGAAAGAGGGUCGAUAUAUUUGCCUUAAGCAUCUACGGAUUAGUGAUCUUUCCUACGGCUUUGAGGCACGUGGACGAGGCGGUCAUUGACUUGUUUGAUCGUCUUGAAAAGGGAAUCACACCGGUACCGGCAAUAUUGGCAGAAACGUUCAGAUCUUUGAGCUUAUGUCAGAAGACGGGUGAGGGGCGAUUUAUUGGAUGUGCUCAACUAUUGAUGGUAUGGUUUCAUGGGAACUUUUGGAAGGUAGACAAGGUUUCCUAUCGAGUCUUUUCCAAAGGUUAUUCCCCUUUGAAAGAAGAGGUAGCUAUACAGAGGAGAAAGGAUAUCUCAGAAGAGAAGUGGAUGGAUAUUUUUCAGAACCUUAAGGAGGAGGAUAUCGAGUGGAGUGCUUAUUGGAUGGUUCCUGAUGAGAUCAUGUACCAAUGUGGUAACUUUGAUUGGGUGCCAUUGUUAGGAAUUUGGGGAGCUACCGGGUAUACUCCGUUGAUAGCCUUGAGGCAAUACAAGUCGAGGCAGUUUGUACCCACGACCUAUGGACUUGCUCAGAGUGAAUUCUCGUUUAAAGGUGCUCACUAUUAAAAGAGAGUUCGGGAGUUAUCGGAUGCUUGGAAGCAAACUUGUUAGAUGAAGAGGUUAGCCGUCGGUUCUAUGGUAACGCCCGAGUACAGCAAGUGGUUUAAGAAGAGGAUUAAUGAUAAUAUUCCUAGGCCAAGCUUAGAGAAUGCUCGGCCUAUCGGGGAACAAUUACAAGUCGCCCCAUCAGAAUUGGAGAUUAUAAAACAAGAUUUCGAGAAGAAGAGUUUGGAGUUUGGUAAGAAGAUCGAACAAUUAGAGGAAGAGAAGAUGCACCUAAGAUUAGAGGCUGAUGUCCAAAGGUCAGAGGCUGAGAAGUGGAGAAAAGGAAAAACUAAGGCUGAAGAAGAUCUAGACAGUUUGAAAAUGGACUACAAAAAGUUACGCCUAUCUAUGAGGAUUGCGGGUUUAGGUAAGACUUCCGAACAAUGGCGCCAUGAAAUUCGGGAAGAAAAAACCAAUACCGACCGGUGGGAAAGGAAAUUUCGAGAAACUCAAGCACGAAACGAAGAUUUGGAGAAAAGUCUAUCAGAAAGCAGAAAUGAGCAAGGGGAAUUAAGGGCUAGAGUGGCAGAACUCGAGAAGUCCCUACAUCAGUACCGAAACCGCAACACCGUGACAGAAUUGAGGGCAAGCUUGAGCAAAAUACAAGAAAUGAAAGGAAGAAUAGAAGAGUUAGAGGCGUCACUGCAAAAUUGUGAUAUGCGAAUCCAGUUUUUUGAGGCAAACGAGGAUCGUUGGAAGGAGCAACUUCACCAUGCGCAAGGCCAAGUUAGAAAUAGGGAUUACCUUAUGGGAGAGGCCAUAACCCAGAUCCGGGAGGUAGCGGACUACUUGCAAACUCUAGCGGUUCAGGCAGACACACUAAGCGUGAAAUAUGAGUUAGAGUCGGAGCGCGAACAAGAGCUGGCCUCAUUGCUUAGAAAAAUUAGGACUUUGAGCGUUAGAGCAAAAUUAUAUUUGUAACUCGACUUUAUGUAAAAGAUUUUAUUUUCAAGUAAAAUUUUCUAAGGGCUGUUGAAUCAAAAUUGAUGCCUCCUUUACAUUCAUGCAUUUGCAUUACAUCAUAUCAUUAUGCAUUAAAGGCCAUUAGAGUUUUCUAAUUAAUUAACUAAAAAUUAUUUCAAUAACCUGGAAACCAAUGAAAACCAACCACGCACCCCUACAGUACAAGGAAAAAAUCAAUGGAUAAGAGACUCGAGAAAUUAGAGCGGAUGCAAAAAGACAUGCAAGAACAAAUACAGUCUCAGAUGCAAGAGCAGCUAGCCAAGAUUCAGUGAGAGAUGAAAGAGCAAAUGAUGGAGUCCCAGAGGGAAAUGAUGAGUCAGUUAUCCCAAUUGUUGUUGGGAGGAACGGAUAAGGGAAAGGGCCCCAUGGACAAAGUUGAAGAAGCUAAUGAGGAUCCUCAAUACCCCCUGGCUUCACUCUGACACAUGUACCGGUGAAGCUCGAGAUUAAUCUACCGAAGCCAUCUGUCACGAUCAUACCCCAGCAGGUUCAGGCUGGAGCUUCAAUACUGAUGAAUUUCCAAACCGGCUUAGGCUCCAACUUUGUCAACAACCCGAACUAUCCGCCCAUUCCCGAUUUGGAUGAAAUUGCUGAAGAAGAAAAGGCGAGGAUGGAUUCGCAAAAACAAUUGGAAAAACGGUGUAGAUGGCUCGAAGAGAAAUUUAAAGCCAUGGAAAGCGCGGAUCAUCAUCAAGGGAUUAAUGCCAAGGACCUAAGUUUAGUCCCAGAUUUAGUCCUUCCCCCCAAAUUCAAAAUGCCCAAGUUCGAGAAAUACAAUGGAACAAGUUGCCCUGAAGCUCAUAUCAUUAUGUUCUGCAGGCGAAUGACGGGAUAUGUUAACAAUGACCAGCUAUUAAUCCACUACUUUCAAGAUAGUUUGGUCGGGGCGGCGUCUAAGUAGUACAACCAAUUAAGCCGCUCUAAGAUUAACUUGUGGAAGGACCUGGCCCAAGCCUUUAUGAAGCAAUACAAUCACGUGACAGACAUGACCCCUGACAGAAUCACUCUCCAGAAUAUGGAGAAGAAAUCGAAUGAAAGCUUCAGGCAGUACGUAUAAAGAUGGAGGGAGGUGGCCAUACAAGUUCAGCCGCCACUUCUAGAAAAGGAGAUAACGAUACUCUUUAUAAAUACCUUGAAGGCCCCUUUUAUCACUCAUAUGUUGGGAAGCGCCACCAAGAGCUUCUCCGACAUAGUGAUGAUGGGAGAAAUGAUCGAAAAUGCUGUAAAGAGCGGCAAGAUAGAAUCGAGAGAGAGUGCUAGGAAGUUAGCCCCGAGGAGAAAAGACAAUGAAGUGAACAACACGAGCACAUUCAACAAGGGGCAGCCCAAGUCAAUUACCGUAAAUCAACCCAAAAUGGUGACUACCAAUCAACAAAGUUCUGUAAGGCAAGAAUCCAAUGCGAGGAAGAACAUAGAAAGGCCACAAUACACCCCUAUACCCAUGUCCUAUAGAGAGUUGUACCAGAACCUGUUCAACGCUCAUGUGGUAUCCCCUUUCUACCUGGAGCCACUGCAGUCCCCGUAUUCCAAAUAGUAUGACGCGAAUGCCCAAUGUGAGUACCACGCGGGAAUCACCGGGCACUCAAUCGAAAAUUGCACUGCGUUUAAGAAAGUGGUCGAAAGACUCAUUAAGGUGGGAAUCAUGAGAUUUGAUGACCCAGCCACGCCCAAUUUAGCAGGAAACCCACUCCCUAAUCAUACCGACCAAGGAGUGAAUGGGAUAAGUGAAGGCUUGAACAAGAAGACCAAGUAUGAGGUGGCAGAAAUCAGGACCUCGUUGAAGCGGGUAUGGAAAGAGAUGACUAAGAGAGGAUUGAUAGCAUUGGAUCCAAGGGAAGAACCCGAAGAAGAGAGAAACUACUGUGAGUUUCAUGACGAGGUGGGGCAUGAAAUCCAAGAAUGUGUGGAAUUCAUGGCCCUCGUGCAGAACAUGAUAGAUAACAAAGAAAUGGAAUUCUAUGAAGAAGCUAAAAGCCUCAUAGAGGGAAAUGUAUGCGCAUCCGAGGGAGAAUCAAAGGCGUAGAAUCAAAUGCCUAAUUAUCCCGUGGUGAUCAUUUCGAGACCCAAAAAUAAUGAAGCUGGAGUAAAAAUGCCAUCGAGGGUCAUAAUCCAAAGACCUGCAGUCUUCCCUUACAAAAACAGUAAAAAGGUCCCAUGAAAUUAUGAUUGCAGUGUGACGAUGCCGGGAAAAGAGAGCCCGGUUAGCGCUUCAAUAAGGGAUCAAGAUAGAGGUUCCUAUACACAUAGCGGGAGGCGUUACGAUACAAUGAAUGAGGAGGAACAGCCCACAAAAGAAAAAGCCCAGGUGGUCAAGGAAAUGAAGGAAAAAGCAACCAAACUUGUUAAUGAGCCAGUUAACGAAGACGAGGCCAAGGAAUUUUUAAAAUUCCUAAAGCACAGCGAAUACAGUGUGGUAGAACAGCUACGUAAACAACCAGCUCGCAUUUCAGUGCUGGCCUUGCUUCUAAGCUCGGAAGUUCAUCGUAGCGCACUAAUGAAGGUCUUAAACGAGACAUAUGUUGCCAAUGAUAUCUCCGUUAACAAGCUGGACCGGUUGGUGAGCAACAUAAGUGCCGACAAUUUUAUCUUCUUUAAUGACGACGAGAUACCACCUGGGGGCAUGGGGUCGACUAAAGCUCUGCAUAUCACCACACGCUGUAAAGGGUACACGCUACUAGGUGUACUGAUUGACAAUGGAUCAGCUUUGAACGUCCUGCCAUUGACCACGCUGAACAGAUUACCUAUAGACAGCUCUCACAUGAAGGAGUGCCAGAACAUCGUGAAGGCAUUCGAUGGCACGGAAAGAAAGGUGAUGGGCAGAAUCGAGGUACCUCUCUAGAUUAGGCCAAACACAUAUGAGGUGGAUUUUCUCGUGAUGGAUAUCAAGCCCUCAUACAAUUGCUUGUUGGGGAGGCUCUGGAUACAUUUAGCUGGGGCAGUACCUUCCCCGUUGCAUCAAAAAUUGAAGCUGGUGUCGGAGGGGAGGUUGAUAACGAUUAAGGCUGAAGAAGAUAUUAUUGCAACUGUGAGCAAUAAUGCACCCUAUUUGGAGACAUAUGACGAAGCAAUCGAAUGCUCAUUUCGAUCUUUGGAAUUUGUUAACGCGACGUUCAUCACCGAGGGAAGCAAAAUUUUGGUGCCGAAAUUGUCCAAAACCACGAGGAUGAGCCUCGAGUUGACGAUUGGAAAAGGGGCCCUACCCGGAAAGGGACUUGGGAGACAUCUACAAGGAAGGAUCGAAACGCCAAUGCUGAAAGAAAAGAGAGACCGCUUCGGCUUAGGAUUUAAGCCGGAUGUGAAACAAAGGAGAAGGGAGCCAGAAAAGAAGCAAGAAAGAAGGAGAGCUCGAUUAAUGGGGGAGCAAAUCAAGUGGGAACCAAUGACAUUCCCCCAUAUAUUGAAAACAUUUGUAUCCAGGGGAAUCAUUCAUCCUGAGAGAGACACGCCAAUGAUGGGAGCUAUAAAAGAAAGUCUGGAAAGUUUGGACAUCAACGUCAUGUACGAAAAGGAGACUGGAAGGGAAAAUUUGUCGGGCAUUUGCCCCUACACGCCUGGAAGUGUUCUGGACAACUAGAUUGCGGAAGAGAUCCUUGUAGUUUUUAGAACGGAUUCAGAGUAAUGUCCAAAACACACUUAUUGCUCUAGGCCUAGGAGUGAUAAGAAUCUUUUGUGAAAUAGGCUGAUGUUUAAAAACGAUAUUUCAAUAAAAUGCACAGUUAUUAUCAUUUUUGAGCAAAUGUUCUCUCGUCCUCUUAAUUUCAUUCAUAACCAUACAAAUGAUUACUUUCGGAUUCUUUUAUUCUUGAAACAUUCUUCUAAGUAUUCUUUCAUUCGUCAUUCAUAAUCAUAUCACGCAAAUAAAUGUUUCGAAUUCUUUUGAUUCUUUGUAUCUGCCUUCGUCCUUAUAACAGGUUCCCAAAUAUUAAUGAUACGAGUGACACUGCUAGCGACUCAGAAUUUCCUUUCGAGCAAGAUGUAUGUAUGGAUGAUUCUUAGGAUUUUGAAGAUGACCAAGGCUGUAACCUAUCUCUUGAUUUGUUGAAGAUGGAGGAACAAGACGAGAAAUAAAUCCUACCUCACAAAGAAUUAAUCGAAAUUGUGAGCUUAGGAGAAGGACAAGAGGUAAAGAUCGGAAUAAGUAUCACUGCGAAAAUGAAGCGAGACCUCAUUGAAUUACUUUAAGAAUUCAAAGGUGUCUUCGCAUGGUCAUACCAAGAUAUGCCCGGGUUGGACACUGACAUCGUGGUGCAUCGACUUCCCAUAAAAGAAUAGUGUAAGCCAGUUUAGCAAAAACUCCGAAGAAUGAGGCCCGAUGUCUUGCUAAAAAUAAAGGAAGAGGUUCGAAAGCAGUUUGACGUUGGAUUUCUGAAGGUGGUAAAAUACUCAGAUUGGGUAGCCAACAUCAUCCCUGUCCCUAAGAAAGAUGGAAAAGUGCUAAUGUGUGUAGACUACAGAGAUUUGAAUAAAGCCAGCCCAAAAGACAAUUUCCCACUGCCUCAUAUCGACACCCUAGUGGACAACAUGGCGGGACAUUCACUGUUUUCAUUCAUGGAUGAUUUUUUGGGAUACAACCAGAUCAAGAUGCAUCCUGAAGAUAUGAAGAAGACCAUAUUUGUAACCAUGUAGGGCACGUUCUGUUACAAGGUGAUGCCGUUUGGAUUGAAGAAUGCGGGGACAACUUAUCAAAGAGCUAUGGUAACCUUUUUUCACGACAUGAUGCAUAAAGAAAUCGAGGUUUAUGUCGAUGACAUGAUCGUAAAGUCUCGAACAGAGAAGGAGCACAUACAAGUCUUGAGGAAAUUGUUCUUGAGGUUGAGGAAGUUCCAGCUAAAACUCAACCCAGCCAAAUGUACCUUCGGAGCUAAAUCCGGAAAGUUGCUCGGAUUCGUGGUUAGUGAGAAAGGGAUUGAGAUCGAUCUAGACAAAGUUAAAGCCAUACAAGAGUUAUCCUCGCCGCGCACUAAAAAAGAAGUUCGAGGCUUUCUAGGAAGAUUAAAUUACAUUGCUCGGUUCAUUUCACAACUGACCGAGAAAUGUGGCCCUGUCUUUCGCCUCCUCAAGAAACAUAACCCAGGUGAAUGGGAUGAAGAAUGCCAAAGGGCUUUCGACAAGGUUAAACAGUACUUAUCCAACGCCCCGGUGCUGAUGCCACCUAACCCCGAUAAGCCGUUGAUACUGUAUUUGGCAGUAUUCGAGAACUCUAUGAGAUGCAUGCUGGCUCAGCAUGAUGAGUCAGGAAGGAAAGAAAAAGCUAUUUACUAUCUCAGUAAAAAGUUUACGGAAUGUGAGACAAUGUACCCGUCGAUAGAGAAGUUGUGUUGUGCCCUAAUAUGGACAACCCGCAGGCUGAGGCAAUAUAUGUUGUAUCACACCACUUGGCUCAUAUCAAAGUUGGACCCUUUAAAGUACAUGAUGGAGUCAACAACCUUAAAUGGAAGGAUGGCCCGAUGACAGAUUCUGCUUUCUAAAUUCAACAUAGUCUAUGUGAACCAAAAAGUAAUAAAAGGAAGUGCGAUAGCAGAUUUUCUAGCCAGUAGAGCUUUGGAAGACUACGAGCCUUUGAACUUCGACUUUCCGAAUGAAGACCUAAUGUGUAUUGCUACGACUGAAGAAGGUGCUCUGGAAGAACUUCUUUGGAAACUGAACUUCGAUGGGGCAUCAAAUGCUGUGGGCAAUGGAAUCGGGGCCGUCUUGGUAUCCCCAAAACGAGAUCAUUACCCAUUCACUAGUAAAUUGGAUUUUGAUUGUACAAAAAAUAUGGUGGAAUAUGAAGCGUGCAUCAUGGGUAUCCGUGCAGCCAUAGAACGUAAGAUUAAAGUGCGAGAGGUGUAUGGAGAUUCUGCGCUAGUGAUUUAUCAACUCAAGGGAGAAUGGGAGACUAGAGACCUCAAGUUAAUCGAUUAUCGGAAGCUGGUCCUUGAGUUGAUUAAAGAGUUUGAUGACAUUACCUUCCACUACCUUCCACGAGACAAAAAUCAGAUGGCUGACGCUUUGGCUACCUUAGCCUCCAUGAUCAAGGUGAACAAACAAGAAGAUGUCAAACCCAUCCGAAUGAACAUUUAUGAAAUUCCGGCCCAUUCUUACAAUAUUGAAAAAGAUGAAGAGAAAGAUGAUCACCCUUGGUAUCACGAUAUAUUGCAAUAUGUGAAGAAUCGUGAGUACCCGGACCAGGCAAGCGAGAAUGAAAAAAGAACGCUAAGAAGAUUGGCCAUCGACUACGUCUUAGAUGGGGAUAUAUUAUACAAAAGAAGAAAGGAUCAAGUGCUACUAAGAUGUGUAGACGCUGUAGAGGCUAGGAAAAUCUUGGAAGAAGUCCAUGAAGGCGUCUGUGGGACACAUGCUAAUGGCUUUACAAUGGCCAGGCAAAUUAUGAGAUUCGGGUACUAUUGGUCCACCAUGGAAGGAGACUGUGUCAAUUACGCUAAGAGAUGUCAUAAGUGUCAAAUCUACGGAGACAAAAUUCUUGUGCCUCCUUCACCGUUGCAUGUCAUGGUUUCUUCAUGGCCAUUCUCUAUGUGGGGCAUGGAUGUGAUUAGACCAAUAUCGCCGAAAGCUACCAAUGGGCAUCGAUUCAUCUUCGUGGUUAUCGACUACUUCACCAAGUGGGUAGAAACUGCUUCGUAUGCUAGUGUGACCAAGUCGGCAGUGAGCAAGUUUCUGAAAAAGGAUAUUAUAUGUCGAUAUGGAAUGCCGGAGAGGAUUAUAUCCGACAAUGCAUUAAACUUGAACAAUAGUACGAUAGCAGAAGUCUGCAGUCAAUUCAAGAACAGACAUCACAACUCGUCACCAUAUCGCCCAAAGAUGAAUGGGGCAGUGGAAGCGGCCAAUACAAACAUUAAGAAAAUUGUGGGGAAGAUGACCAAAACCUACAGAGACUGGCAUGAGAAGUUACCAUUUGCCCUCUUCGCUUAUCGAACGUCAGUCAAAACCUCAACUGGGGCAGCCCCUUUUUCUUUGGUCUACGGAAUGGAAGCGGUGUUGCCGAUCGAGGUCGAGAUCCCGUCCCUUCGAGUGUUGUUGGAGUUAAAUUUGGAAGAAGCCGAGUGGAUCCAAUCUCGAUAUGAUCAAUUGAACCUAACGAGGAAAAAAGGUUAAAAGCUAUUCGUCAUGGUCAGAUGUACCAAAAAUGAAUGAUGCAGGCUUAUGAUAAAAAGGUUCGUCCUAGAGAAUUCCACGAGGGAGACCUGGUUUUGAAAAAGAUUCUUCCCAUACAGAAAUAUUUUCGGGGAAAAUGGAUGCCUAAUUGGGAAGGGCCUUACGUAGUGAAGAAAGCUUUCACUGGAGUAGCAUUGAUUCUAGCCGAGAUGGACGAUAGAAACUUGCCCAAUCCUGUAAACUCGGACUCGGUCAAGAAGUAUUUUACCUGAAGAAAGAGAGGCCUGAGUGAAAACCCACAAAGGGUGCUCUGAAAUCCAAAAAAAAACCCGGAGAGGCCAAGGUGAAAACCCACAAAGGGUAUUUUGGAACCAAAGGGGCUUUUGAGUUGAAAACCCAAAAACGGGCAGCUCAAAUUUUGAAUAUGGGGCAUAUGGCGGUCUUGUCCUUCCAAAAUCAACAAGACAGAAGAACAUUACACCUUGGAGCAUCAACAAAAUACGCGGGAUCUCCUGAACACACAUUUGGUUCGAAUGAACCUUUGAGAAAUUAGAAUAGUGAAACUCGUGCUGCGAUAUCUGGGGCAUCUUUUUCUCAUUUUUCGCACCUUACCAGAUUCAUUAUCCUAUGUAUUCACAUCAAAAUUUGCUUAAUAAAAUGACAUUUGUCCAUUAUGAUAAUCUCUUUCGAGCAGUUUUGUCGAAAUCGCGAUUUUUGAACAUGUAAUAUCUACAUAAAAGAUGUUAUGCAUAUUACUCUGGAAAAGUCUCUAAAUAGUACAAGGACCUGAAACAGGGCCACUAGUCAGAACUAACCAGGUUCAAAGUUGGAAAAUAUUGGAAAAAGAGAAAUCCAAAUUAGGACUAUUUCUUCAAAUUUUCUGGCAGAGAUAACGGCUAAGUAAGAAAACGUGAUAGCACAUCAAUGAUGGAACCCGGACGAAUCAUGAGCAAUGAUACCUUAAACGUUUGAAGAGGAAUUAUUCUCAUAGCACUUCUACAUUCAUAAUCAUUCAUUUAGUUAGGAGCACUUGAUUCAUUUCGAUCAUAGCAUUCUAAUUAUCUGACAUAAACACCACAUCUAGUUAGGGACAUUUGAUUCAUCUCGAUCAUAGUAUCCUAAUUACUUGAUACAGGAAACCAAUUCUACAAAUCAUGUCUUUGGAAGACAGUGUAGUGACAUUGGCGAAUCCUACAGAUCCUGCUUCCCUGAAGUUGCAGUGGAGCAGAUCGAAGACGACAAAUCUUGACUUCCUGAAGUUGCAGUGAAGUAGAUUUAAGUCACUAACCUAGCUCCCUAAAGUUGUAGUGGAGUAGGUUGAGAUUUUAGAUCCUACUUCCCUGAAGUUACAGUGGAGCAGAUCAAAAACGACGAAUCCUGACUUCCUGAAGUUGCAGUGAAGCAGAUUUAAGUCACUAACCUUGUUCCCUAAAGUUGUAGUGGAGUAGGUUAAAAUUUUAGAUCUCGUUUCCCUGAAGUUGCAGUGGAGUAAAUCAAAGACAACGAAUCUUGACUUCCUGAAGUUGCAGCAAAGCAGAUUUAAGUCACUAACCUAGCUCCCUAAAGUUGUAGUGGAGUAGGUUGAAAUUUUCGAUCUCGUUUCCCUGAAGUUGCAGUGGAGCAGAUCGAAGACGGCGAAUCUGAGCUUCUUGAAGUUGCAGUGAAGCAGAUUUAAGCCACUAACCUAGCUCCCUAGAGUUGUAGUAGAGUAGGUUGAAAUUUUAGAUCUCGUUUCCCUGAAGUUGCAGUGGAGCAGAUCGAAGACGGCGAAUCUGAGCUUCCUGAAGUUGCAGUGAAGUAGAUUUAAGCCACCAACCCAGCUCCCUAAAGUUGUAGUGGAGUAGGUUGAAAUUUUAGAUUUUGUUUCCCUGAAGUUGCAGUGAAACAGAUCGAAGACGGUGAAUCUUGACUUCUUGAAAUUGCAAUGAAGUAGAUUUAAGCCACCAUCCUAGCUCCCUAAAGUUGUAGCGGAGUAGGUUGAAGAUUGUAGAUCUUGUCUCCCUGAAGUUGCAGUGGAGCAUAUUGAAGCUACUUGAAGAAAAAAAGUACCAAGAAGUCGAGGCUCAGCAGGUCCUGGCAAAUUUGGCCCAUUUAUAGUCUUUACUUUAUUCUCGUUACACGACAAUAUGCAAAGAAGGGCAGCUGUAGUGGGCCAAAUUUGCCCGGUCCGAAUAAAAAUAAUAAAUGAUAUAAAAAUCUAGAUAUCAAUAGUCCAUUAUCUGUCCAAUUACAACCCAAAAUCAAACCAAAUUAACCCUAAUGUUUCAAGACACAAAUUACAAGUCCAUUUACAAAAUGACAUAGCCCAAUACCCCAAACGGCCCAGAAACUGAGCCCCAUUUUGGCAAACCCUAGGGCAAGGGUCUCC